UGGGCUUGACAUCCACGGAAUCUUUUGGAAACAAGAGAGUGCCUCGCAAGAGGAGCCGUGAGACAGGUGCUGCAUGGCUGUCGUCAGCUCGUGUCGUGAGAUGUUGGGUUAAGUCCCGCAACGAGCGCAACCCUUGUCAUUAGUUACCCCAGCAAUGGGUUCGGUCUAAUGAGACUGCCGGCGUUAAGCCGGAGGAAGGCAGGGAUGACGUCAAGUCCUCAUGGCCUUUAUGCCCAGGGCUACACACGUGCUACAAUGGCACCCACAAACCGUUGCAAGCUCGCGAGAGUAAGCCAAUCGGAAAAAAGGUGCCUCAGUUCAGAUUGCAGUCUGCAACUCGACUGCAUGAAGGCGGAAUCGCUAGUAAUCGCGCAUCAGAACGGCGCGGUGAAUACGUUCCCGGGCC
rnacentral:rRNA from 1 species